GACGAACGCUGGCGGCGUGCUUAACACAUGCAAGUCGAACGGAAAGGCCCUGCUUUUGUGGGGUGCUCGAGUGGCGAACGGGUGAGUAACACGUGAGUAACCUGCCCUUGACUUUGGGAUAACUUCAGGAAACUGGGGCUAAUACCGGAUAGGAGCUCCUGCUGCAUGGUGGGGGUUGGAAAGUUUCGGCGGUUGGGGAUGGACUCGCGGCUUAUCAGCUUGUUGGUGGGGUAGUGGCUUACCAAGGCUUUGACGGGUAGCCGGCCUGAGAGGGUGACCGGCCACAUUGGGACUGAGAUACGGCCGAGACUACUACGGGAGGCAGGAGUGGGGAAUAGUGCACAAUGGGCGGACGCCUGAUGCAGAAACGCCGCGUGCGGGAUGACGGCUUUCGGGUUGUAAACCGCUUUCGCCUGUGACGAAGCGUGAGUGACGGUAAUGGGUAAAGAAGCACCGGAUAACUACG
rnacentral:rRNA from 1 species